ACAUGAUCUCUGGAAUAGGAUGCUGGAGAUGGUGAAGAGGUAGUGAAGGUGGUAACCACUCCUCUGAGGCGCUCAAGCCGACUCCGCAAUCGGGUUACUUCUCCUUGAGCUGAGGAUGAGUUGGUUAGUUAUCAAGUGCUGAUGGUUUUCAUCCAUGCUAGAGAUUCCAAAACAGCAUUCUGUUGUUUCAUGUUCUGAUCUUCUGAUCUCUGACUUGGUGUAUGUAUUGACACAACAAAUGCUUGUUUGUAUCUCACACGCAGCUGAAUGGCUAUAUUUAACAUGUAAUUCUUUUAUCCUACUUAGCUCUGCCUGAACAGAAAGCUGAGAAGGCUCAGAUGAAUCUUUUUAGAAUUUUUCUGUAUUUACUAGAAUAAUAUGCUGUUUCUUUUUUCUUCAAAAGUUUAUCACUCACUAUUGUUGCCAUCACAUGCCUCCAUAAAUUGUGUCGUCACCACCAUCAUUGUUAUGACUAUAUCACAAAUUUUCCUUGUGCAUCAAUCAUUAAUCAUAUAGAUGUUCAAGAUCUUUUUAAGACCUGUUGGGAUAUACCGACUUUUCCCCCCAUACCGACUCACCGUCGGGCCUACUUGACCAGCGCCCGACUCUGCCGACCGAUAGCUGCCGUCACCGACCGACCGAGCAUACGUCGGUCGGAUAGACCUUCUUCUCUCCUGAUCGGCUAAACUUAGAGCCCGAUGUCCGACUCCCACACCGCGCCCGACUGGCCGACGGAGGGACCCCGGGUUUCCACCCGACGCCCC
rnacentral:lncRNA from 1 species